rnacentral:rRNA from 1 species
UACAGAGGUCCCAAGCGUUGUUCGGAUUUAUUGGGCGUAAAGGGUGCGUAGGCGGCGGAGUAAGUUGGGUGUGAAAUCCCGGGGCUCAACCUCGGAAUUGCAUUCAAUACUGCUUCGCUCGAGUACUGGAGAGGAGACUGGAAUUUACGGUGUAGCAGUGAAAUGCGUAGAUAUCGUAAGGAAGGCCGGUGGCGAAGGCGGCCACCUGGACGGAUACUGACGCUGAGGUGCGAAAGCGUGGGGAGCAAACAGG